GGCUUUCACUGCUCCCAUGGACAAACUUGCUCUUUUAAUCGCUGCUCGGGCUUUUUGCAUGGAUCCCUGGAAGAUGCCAGGCAGAGGACUCCAUGUUAUUUGGCUUGCAGGCACGCCACGGCUGCGGUGAAGUUGGCUACCAGUCGCCCUCCACCAACAGCGCAGGAUGCCAGCUGAUCUCUCACUAGCGUCAUGGAAUGCUGGGAGGGCAGACUGACCAUGUAGUCUCCAAUGAAGGAAACACCGUAGCCCACAGAGUUGUGUCCCAGGGUGUGGGCUCCUUGCCAGUGCCAGCUUCGGCCCUCGUAGAUGUACCCGUCAGAGCCUGCAACGAAGCUUUGGGGGGGCAGAGUAUUUUAGACAUUGUAAACCUCGGUCCUCCUGAUGGAAACGCUGCAUGGAGCGCAUGUCUGCAGAGCACUGCUCGAAGGUCAGACAGGGCUGGCCCGGUGUGUGAGUGUGGUGGAUGAACAUGAAGGAGAGAGGAAGAGAAAGCCAUCAGCUGCUUCUUCUCCUUCACAUUCAUUUUAGAGCGCCCUGUCAGUCUCCGCUGCAGCUUCUCUGAUUUCAUCACCUGUCUGGUCAGCACCGGAGUGCUGACUAGUCCUCUGAAGUUCUCCCUGCGACGUCGACU